CAGUCGCCGCGGUAAUACGGAGGAUCCAAGCGUUAUCCGGAAUCAUUGGGUUUAAAGGGUCCGUAGGCGGUCUUGUAAGUCAGUGGUGAAAGCCCAUCGCUCAACGGUGGAACGGCCAUUGAUACUGCAGGACUUGAAUUAUUGGGAAGUAACUAGAAUAUGUAGUGUAGCGGUGAAAUGCUUAGAGAUUACAUGGAAUACCAAUUGCGAAGGCAGGUUACUACCAAUUGAUUGACGCUGAUGGACGAAAGCGUGGGUAGCGAACAGGAUUAGAGACCCCGGUAGUCCCUGUCUCUUAUAC
rnacentral:rRNA from 1 species